rnacentral:rRNA from 1 species
GACGAACGCUGGCGGCGUGCUUAACACAUGCAAGUCGAACGGAAAGGCCCUGCUUUUGUGGGGUGCUCGAGUGGCGAACGGGUGAGUAACACGUGAGUAACCUGCCCUUGACUUUGGGAUAACUUCAGGAAACUGGGGCUAAUACCGGAUAGGAGCUCCUGCUGCAUGGUGGGGGUUGGAAAGUUUCGGCGGUUGGGGAUGGACUCGCGGCUUAUCAGCUUGUUGGUGGGGUAGUGGCUUACCAAGGCUUUGACGGGUAGCCGGCCUGGGAGGGUGGCCGGGCACAUUGGGACUGAGAUACGGCCCAGACUCCAACGGGAGGCAGCGGUGGGGAAGAUUGCACAAUGGGCGGACGCCUGAUGCAGCAACGCCGCGUGCGGGAUGACGGCCUUCGGGUUGUAAACCGCUUUCGCCUGUGACGAAGCGCGAGUGACGGUAAUGGGUAAAGAAGCACCGGCUAACUACGUG